GAUCACUAGCUAAAGCCCCUAAAUGACCACUUAGUAAUAAAGAAGGUAGGGGGUUCAGAGACCACAAGAAAUUUGCCUAGAAGUAGCCACUUUUAAAACUUAAAAGGGUGCGUAAUAGCUUACCGAUUGAGCACUCUUGCGUCGAAGAUGAACGGAGCUAGGCGAUCUGUUGAAGCUGUGGGAUGUCAAAAUACACC
rnacentral:ncRNA from 1 species